CAUCAAACAGGAUGGCUGUGACCUGCCGUCUGUAACUGGUCACCUGGACUGGCAGCUAGCUAAUGGUGAAACCGGCCUGGAAAGCG
rnacentral:ncRNA from 13 species